rnacentral:snRNA from 1 species
GUCUCUUCAGAGACAUCCGAUAAAUUGGAAUUAUACCGAGGCGAUUAGCAUGGCCCCUGCACAAGGAUGACAUGCACAAACGAGAAAAUGUUCCAAAUUUUU